AUUGAACGCUGGCGGCAGGCCUAACACAUGCAAGUCGAACGAGUGGCGGACGGGGGAGUAAUGUCUGGGAAACUGCCUGAUGGAGGGGGAUAACAACUGCAAACGGUAGCUAAUACCGCAUACCAUCAGAUGUGCCCAGAUGGGGUUAGCUUGGUGGUGGGGUAUAGGCUCACCAAGGCGACGAUCCCUAGCUGGUCUGAGAGGAUGACCAGCCACACUGGAACUAAGACACGGUCAAGACGCCUACGUGAGGCAGCAGUGGGGAAUAUUGCACAAAGGGCGCAAGCCUGAUGCAGCCAUGCCGCGUGUAUGGAGAAGGCCUUCGGGUUGUAAAGUACUUUCAGCAGGGAGGCGUUACCCGCAGAAGACGCACCGGCUAACUCCGUGCCAGCAGCCGCGGUAAUUC
rnacentral:rRNA from 1 species